CCUACGGGGGGCAGCAGUGGGGAAUAUUGGUCAAUGGACGAGAGUCUGAACCAGCCAAGUAGCGUGAAGGAUGACUGCCCUAUGGGUUGUAAACUUCUUUUAUAAAGGAAUAAAACGAGGCACGUGUGCCUUUUUGCAUGUACUUUAUGCAUCAGGAUAGUCAAACUCCGUGCCAGCAGCCGCGGUAAUACGUAGGAUCCGAGCGUUAUCCGGAUUUAUUGGGUGUAAAGGGAGCGUAGAUGGGUUGUUAAGUCAGUUGUGAAAGUUUGCGGCUCAACCGUAAAAUUGCAAUUGAUACUGGGAGUCUUGAGUACAGAUGAGGUAGGCGGAAUUCGUGGUGUAGCGGUGAAAUGCUUAGAUAUCACGAAGAACCCCAAUGGCGAAGGCAGCUGACUAAACUGUGACUGACACUGAGGCUCGAAAGUGUGGGUAGCAAACAGGAUUAGAUACCCGGGUAGUC
rnacentral:rRNA from 1 species